AUGGCGUCCACGGCUGGACUCCAAAUUUCCCACGGCCACUGGUUCAACACCACCCUCACAUCCUCCCAAUCCCACCCUUGCUCCCGCUCCUCCUUCCCGCGUCCUCCAGCCGGGGAUUAUUUGGAGCGCUCUCCUCCUCGUUGCCGCCGACGAUGCUCGCAUGCGGUGGCGGCGGCGAUCGUGGUGGAGAAGCUGGGGCAGCGAAGGUCUGUUGGACCUUCUCUGCCAGUGCCUCGACGAAGCCGCGACGGCUUCUUGGCGCGGCGGGGGCGUCAGCAGCCUGCUGCCGCUCCCUGUGGCAGCGCCGUGGAGGGAGCGGGUGCGGCCCCAGCAACCGAUCGCUUCGCCAAGACCUUGACCAACCUCCCUAAGCCUGGUGGUGGAGAGUAUGGCAAGUUCUACAGCAUUCCUGCACUGAAUGAUCCAAAGAUAGAUAAGCUUCCCUACUGUAUCCGUAUUCUUCUAGAAUCAGCUGUCCGCAACUACGAUAACUUCCAAGUUACGGAGAGUGAUAUCCAGAAUAUCAUCGACUGGGAGAAGACAUCCCCAAAGCUUGCCGAGAUACCAUUCAAGCCAGCACGGCUUGUUCUUAUGGACAACACUGGCGGCCCAGCUGUUGUAGAUCUUGCAGCCAUACGAGAUGUGAUAGCGGAGCUAGAGAGUGAUCCCAAAAAGAUCAACCCACUGGUUCCGGUGGAUCUCGUCAUUGACCACUCAGUGCGGGUGGAUGUAGCCAAGUGUGCCGAUGCAUUGAAACAAAACAUGGACCUGGAGUUUAGCCGCAACAAAGAAAGAUUUAGUUUCUUCAAAUGGGCGUCAUCUGCUUUCAACAAUAUGCUGGUUCUUCCCCCUGGUUCUGGGAUCCUUCAUCAAGUCAAUCUUGAGUAUCUUUCCAGAGUUGUCUUCAAAGCAGAUGGUGUCUUGUACCCUGACAGCGUGGUUGGCACUGAUUCACACACCACUAUGAUUAAUAGUCUCGGUGUUGCAGGUUGGGGAGUGGGUGGUAUCGAAGCAAUGGCUGCAAUGCUUGGGCAGCCAAUGAGCAUGGUUUUACCAGGUGUGGUUGGAUUCAAGCUCACCGGAAAGUUACAGGAUGGUGUCACUACUACAGACCUUGCCCUUACUUUGACCCAGAUGCUAAGGAAGCAUGGUGUUGUUGGCAAAUUUAUUGAAUUCCACGGUGAGGGUGUGGGCAGCAUCCCUUUGCCUGCUAGAGCCACAAUCGCAAACAUGACUCCAGAAUAUGGCGCUACCAUGGGAUUUUUCCCUGUAGAUCAAGUGGCAUUAGAUUACCUCAGACUAAUAGGGCGAAGUGAUGAAACAGUAUCAAUGAUUGAAGCAUAUUUGCGAGCUAACAAGAUGUUUGUGGACUGCAAUGAGCCUCAAACGGGACCAGUUUACUCUUCAGAUCUUGAGCUGGACCUUACUACGGUGGAGCCUUCUGUUGCCGGCCCAAAGAGGCCUCAUGACCGGGUUCCUUUGAAGGAGAUGAAAUCUGAUUGGCAUGCUUGCCUCGGCAAUGAGGUUGGUUUCAAGGGUUAUGCAGUGCCUAAGGAACAACAUAAUAAAAUUGUGAAAUUUGACUUCCAUGGACAACCCGCUGAAAUCACACAUGGCAGUGUGGUUCUUGCAGCAGUAUGCAGUUCCACAAACUCAUCAAAUCCUAGCGUUAUGAUUGGUGCUGGCCUUGUGGCAAAAAAAGCCUGCGAAUUGGGUCUUGAGGUGAAGCCAUGGGUUAAGACAAGCCUGGCCCCUGGAUCUUUGGUUGUCACCAAAUACUUGGAACACAGUGGCCUUCAAGAAUAUUUGAACCAUCAAGGCUUCCAUCUUGUCGGAUAUGGUUGUACCACUUGUAUCGGCAACUCCGGCGACCUUGAUAAAUCUUUAUCAGAUGCUAUUGUAGAUAACGAUGUUGUUGUUGUUGCUGUGUUGUCGGGCAACCGUAACUAUGAGGGUCGUGUGCACCCUCUAACUCGAGCUAACUACCUCGCCUCACCACCUCUUGUUGUUGCAUAUGCUCUUGCUGGCACCGUUGACAUUGAUUUUGAGAACGAACCUAUUGGAAUUGGAAAGGAUGGCAAGGAGGUUUACUUCAAGGAUGUAUGGCCCACAAAUGAAGAAAUCGAGCAGGUUAUCAAGUCCAACGUGUUGCCGAAGAUGUUCGUGGACACGUAUGGUUCCAUCACGGAGGGCAACGACGCAUGGAACAAUUUAGUGGUCCCGAAAGAGACACUCUACCCAUGGGAUCCAAAAUCCACCUACAUCCACAAGCCGGCGUACCUGGAAAAUAUAACCAUGACCCCGCCCGGCCCGCCCUCAGUGAAGGAUGCCUACUGCCUACUAAGCCUAGGGGACAGCAUCACCACCGACCACAUCUCUCCCUCAGGGGUCAUCAAGCCAGGAACCCCUGCCGCCAAGUAUCUGCUGGAGCGCGGCGUGAAGCCCGAGAACUUCACCACAUAUGGCAGCCGACGUGCCAACGACGAGAUCGUUGUGAGAGGGGCGUUUGCCAACAUUAGGAUUGUGAACAAGCUUUUGGAGGGAGAGGUGGGGCCUAAAACCAUCCAUGUCCCUACGGGGGAGAAGCAUUACGUUUUCGACGCUGCCAUGAAAUACAAGUCGGAGGGUCAUGACAUGGUCAUUCUUGCCGGUGAUGAGUAUGGAGCCGGGAGCUCCCGUGAUAGCGCCGCCAAGGGGCCAUUGCUCCUGGGCGUCAAGGCAGUGAUCGCUAAGGGCUUCGAGCGCAUCCACCGGAGUAACUUGGUGGGGAUGGGGAUUAUCCCUCUCCGCUUCAAGGUUGGCGAGGAUGCAGAUUCACUCAACCUCAGUGGGCAUGAGCGUUUCACGAUCGACCUCCCUGGCAAGAUUACCGAGAUCCGUCCAGGCCAAGAUGUGACCGUUACGACACAAAAUGGGAAAUCCUUCACUUGCACACUUUGCAUUAACACGCAGGUGGAGCUGGAAUACUUUAACCAUGGAGGCAUCCUCCCCUACCUUAUCCGCAAAUUGGCAUGA
rnacentral:rRNA from 1 species